rnacentral:lncRNA from 1 species
GGAGAUGUAAGAGAACGACAGAUUUACCUUUACAGGAGAUCUGAAUCGCUCUGAAUGUGAAGAAGUGUCCGGAGGAGCAGCAGGUGAGAGAUGUGCAGAAACACCGCGAGCAAAACAAACACACCAGAUCCACGUGCAGCAUCAGACGGACUGCUGUCAUUACUCACUGACAGCGCGACGCACGCGGAAACUUACUUACAGAGUAAGGGAUGAGUUUGAUCAGAAGCAGAGCUCUGGGACGUGUGGACAGACUUUCACUGUAAUGAUGGACAUCCGCUGAUGGACAGAAGUAUAACCCCUGCUGGACAUCGUGCCGGGGCUCGGGGGGGACCCGAAUCAUCCCCGUCCCUUCAUUCACACAACACUCACAUCACGGAGAUCUGGCUGGGAUCAAACCAGCAACCUCUGAACCAUGAGGCAACACGCUAACCUGCGAGCCACAGAUCUCUUGCUUAAACUUGUGAAGGAACUUAUAUUUCACUGUUAACCUGUAUGUGAUUUGACAAGAAACCUGUUAAAGCUUUAGCAGAGUCUCUUUCAAAUCAUCCCCUUCACAGAAGUCUGGCUGGGAUAGAACCAGCAACCUCUGAACGGCG